CCUAUGUUCAAGAUGCUGCCCAGUGACACAGUCCUUUCUGUUGCCUUCUGGUCAAGAUGUAGUCAGCACCAUGUCUGCCUGAACACCGCCAUGCUCCCUGCCAUGACGAUAAUGGACUGAACCUCUGAAACUGUUUCUGACUCAGCUGGCUGUUCCUGGGGAAGAGCCACUCCAGUGAUUCCAGCCAGCACCCCAAUGACUGUGGGAUACACGGUGUUGUUCCUGACUUCCAUCCUGAGGCUCAGUCUCAUAGAUUGGUGCCAGCCCAAUUGUCAUCAGAGAGGCUUCAUCCAGCAACUGAUGGAAAUGGAUGCAGACCCACAGUCAAACAUUAAGCAGAGCUCAGGGAAUCCUGCAGAAGAGGAGGAGGAAGGAUUUUUAGGAGCCAGAGGGGUAAAAAACAUCACAAGAAAACUCACAGAAUCAACUAACCUGGGCUCAUAGGGGCUUACAUUGACUGGACUAACAACCAGGAAGCCUGCAUGGGAAUGACCUUGGUAAUCUUCAUAUAUGUUACAGGAGCUCAACGGUGAAAUGGCUUUGCUCUCAUGCAAUCUCCAUCAUGCUGCACUUCCUCAC
rnacentral:lncRNA from 1 species